rnacentral:rRNA from 1 species
AUUGAACGCUGGCGGCAGGCCUAACACAUGCAAGUCGAGCGGAGCGGCGGACGGCGGGGUAAUAAUUACGAAUCAUCUUGGUGGUGGGGGAGAACGACGGGAAACGGGGGCUGAUACCGCAUACUAUCAGAUGAGGCUAGGUCGGAUUAGCUAGUAGGUGGGGUAAAGGCCUACCAAGGCGACGAUCCGUAACUGGUCUGAGAGGAUGAUCAGUCACACUGGAACUGAGACACGGUCCAGACUCCUACGGGAGGCAGCAGUGGGGAAUAUUGGACAAUGGGCGAAAGCCUGAUCCAGCCAUGCCGCGUGUGUGAAGAAGGUCUUCGGAUUGUAAAGCACUUUAAGUUGGGAGGCGUUACCAACAGAAUAAGCACCGGCUAACUUCGUGCCAGCAGCCGCGGUAAUAC